GAAAGGCGGCUUUGUUGUCACUUAUAGAUGGAUCCGCGCCGUAUUAGCUAGUUGGUAAGGUAACGGCUUACCAAGGCAACGAUACGUAGCCGACCUGAGAGGGUGAUCGGCCACACUGGAACUGAGACACGGUCCAGACUCCUACGGGAGGCAGCAGUAGGGAAUCUUCCGCAAUGGGCGAAAGCCUGACGGAGCAACGCCGCGUGAGUGAUGAAGGUCUUCGGAUCGUAAAACUCUGUUAUCAGGGAAGAACAAAUGUGUAAGUAACUGUGCACAUCUUGACGGUACCUGAUCAGAAAGCCACGGCUAACUACGUGCCAGCAGCCGCGGUAAUACGUAGGUGGCAAGCGUUAUCCGGAAUUAUUGGGCGUAAAGCGCGCGUAGGCGGUUUUUUAAGUCUGAUGUGAAAGCCCACGGCUCAACCGUGGAGGGUCAUUGGAAACUGGAAAACUUGAGUGCAGAAGAGGAAAGUGGAAUUCCAUGUGUAGCGGUGAAAUGCGCAGAGAUAUGGAGGAACACCAGUGGCGAAGGCGACUUUCUGGUCUGUAACUGACGCUGAUGUGCGAAAGCGUGGGGAUCAAACAGGAUUAGAUACCCUGGUAGUCCACGCCGUA
rnacentral:rRNA from 1 species